rnacentral:piRNA from 1 species
UGGCACCAAUAGCCAUAUAGGGCCUCAUCGC